UACGGGGGGGGCAAGCGUUGUUCGGAAUUACUGGGCGUAAAGGGCUCGUAGGUGGCCAACUAAGUCAGACGUGAAAUCCCUCAGCUUAACUGGGGAACUGCGUCUGAUACUGGAUGGCUUGAGUAUGGGAGAGGAAUGCGGAAUUCCAGGUGUAGCGGUGAAAUGCGUAGAUAUCUGGAGGAACACCGGUGGCGAAGGCGGCAUCCUGGACCGGCAUUGACGCUGAGGCGCGAAAGCCAGGGGAGCAAGCGGG
rnacentral:rRNA from 1 species